rnacentral:rRNA from 1 species
UACGUAGGGGGCAAGCGCUGUCCGGAUUCAUUGGGCGUAAAGAGCGUGUAGGCGACCAGGUAGGUCGGUUGUGAAAACUGGAGGCUCAACCUUCAGAGGUCGACCGAAACCAUCUGGCUAGAGUCCGGGAGAGGAGAGUGGAAUUCCUGGUGUAGCGGUGAAAUGCGCAGAUAUCAGGAGGAACACCCGUGGCGAAAGCGGCUCUCUGGAACGGUACUGACGCUGAGACGCGAAAGCGUGGGGAGCGAACAGG